rnacentral:rRNA from 1 species
UGACCUCGGAUCAGGUGGGAUUACCCGCUGAACUUAAGCAUA